rnacentral:misc_RNA from 1 species
UUGUGCAUCGAACGGUUGGCAUGCUGCCCUUUUUAUUGCUAUCAUGUGCUACCUUGAUGGUUUGCCAUGGUUUGCCUCGGGGUUCCUGUGUUGCCUACCAUGAAAAUGGUAUUUCGAUUAUCACGGAAUAUUUGUUCCAUCCAGGUCUCCUUGGGGAGAUGAUGGUGGAUUCAGUGCAAUGCAUGCGUUCCACUUUGCUCUGUGAGAUAAGUGUGGUAACAAAUGCGGUUGUUGUUCUUUUGGAUGCGGUGAGUGCAUGCAACGAACGUGGCUUCGAUUGUCCCGUUUAGCUAUAAAUAUUCGGUUGCCUUAGGAUGACUUGCCCUGGUGCUUGUUGUGUUUUCCAUUCAGGAAGACAAUGCUUGCACCUUGAGCAUGGUCACGAAUGGGUGCUACCUGGUUGAUCCUGCCAGUAGUCAUAUGCUUGUCUC